rnacentral:rRNA from 1 species
GCUCAACCGAGGAAGUGCUUCGAAAACUGGUAAACUUGAGUGCAGAAGAGGAAAGUGGAACUCCAUGUGUAGCGGUGGAAUGCGUAGAUAUAUGGAAGAACACCAGUGGCGAAGGCGGCUUUCUGGUCUGUAACUGACGCUGAGAUUCGAAAGCAUGGGUAGCAAACAGGAUUAGAUACCCUGGUAGUCCAUGCCGUAAACGAUGAGUGCUAAGUGUUGGAGGGUUUCCGCCCUUCAGUGCUGCAGCUAACGCAUUAAGCACUCCGCCUGGGGAGUACGAUCGCAAGAUUGAAACUCAAAGGAAUUGACGGGGGCCCGCACAAGCGGUGGAGCAUGUGGUUUAAUUCGAAGCAACGCGAAGAACCUUACCAGGUCUUGACAUACCAUAAAAAGCUAAGAGAUUAGUCUUUCCCUUCGGGGACAUGGAUACAGGUGGUGCAUGGUUGUCGUCAGCUCGUGUCGUGAGAUGUUGGGUUAAGUCCCGCAACGAGCGCAACCCUUAUUAUCAGUUGCCAGCAUUCAGUUGGGCACUCUGGUGAGACUGCCGGUGACAAACCGGAGGAAGGUGGGGACGACGUCAAAUCAUCAUGCCCCUUAUGACCUGGGCUACACACGUGCUACAAUGGUCGGUACAACG